rnacentral:rRNA from 1 species
UACGUAGGGGGCGAGCGUUGUCCGGAUUUAUUGGGCGUAAAGAGCUCGUAGGCGGUUUGGCAAGUCGGGUGUGAAAACUCCGGGCUCAACUCGGAGACGCCACUCGAUACUGCCAUGACUCGAGUCCGGUAGGGGAGUGCGGAAUUCCUGGUGUAGCGGUGAAAUGCGCAGAUAUCAGGAGGAACACCGGUGGCGAAGGCGGCAUCCUGGACCGGCAUUGACGCUGAUGAGCGAAAGCUAGGGGAGCAAACGGG